ensembl:lncRNA
GUUUAUGCAAACAUCAAAUGUAGCAUCCCACAUGGCAGCAGCAGAAAGGCACUGGGGUAGAAGAUGAGUGAUAAUGAGGUUAUCCCGGAAUGCAGUUGGUUGGCUGGCAUGCAAAGGUGGGCCUAAAAGCAGAAUGAACAUGAUGGCCGAGGGAGGCUUCACCUGUACCAGUGUUUGGAAUGUCCCGUUCUGUGUCGUCCUGGAAGUUUUUACACCAUAAUUCAGUUCACAGUGUGUGAGAGGUUGGUUUCCAACUCCUGGCCUCAAGUGAUCCUCCUGCCUCAGCCUCCAAAGCGGUAUGAUUGCAGACAUGAGCCACUGUGCCCAGCUGAGGUUAUUUUCUAUGUAAAUCUUGAUGUUCUGGAAUUGGCCCCAGAGAGAAGCAGCUUCUUGGGCAUGCACAUUAAGAGACAAAAAUGGCGAAGUAUGAUCUUCCUGGAUCACUCCACCGGAAAAAGGAAGAAAGCCUCAAAUGGGCAUGAAUACAAAUCCUAAAUGUACUGCAUGUGCUCAAUUAGCAAGGGUAAGGAGGCACCGCAUGCAGAAAACCCACCCUGAGGGAAGAAUCAUGGGAAAGAGGUGAGCCUAUAAAGUCCCAGGAUCAAGUUUAAAGGUGCUUCUUUUGUCUUUCUUUUCUUCCUGAAAAAAAACCUUCAGGGGCUCACUUGGAUCUCUUCCAAGGGUUCUUUACUUUCUUUGCUGUUCUGAAACUUUUUUAAUAAACUUCCACUCCUGCUCUGAAACUUGCCUUAGUCUCUUUUUCUGUUUUAUGUCCUUCAGUCAAGUUCUUUCUUCUGAGGAGGCAAGGGCUGAAGUUGCUACAGACCCAUACGAAUACGCCUCUGGUAACUCGGUGUAACUCAGGUCUCUGCCGCCGCUAACAAUACUACUUAUUGAAUACUAUAUCCUUUCCUAUUAUUAUGAAGUGCCAUCAUAAUGGUGUACUAAAUUUUCAUAUGUACGUGGCUCUGUGUAUGUAUUUCUACUUUGGCUAAUUCAUCUUUCUCUACCAACCUUAAUAUCACACUGUUCCAAUUCCUAUAACUUUAUAGUGUUUGUUUAAUACUAUGCUUUGAUAACUAGUAGAUCAAAUUUGACUAAACUAUUCUUUUCCCAAAAUAUUUUGGCUCUUGUACAUUUUCUUUUCUAGAUAAACUUUAUAAUUUUGACAGACACACAAAUACAUUCUCAAUGAGAUUUUUAUUGGAAUUACAUUGACUUUGUGAAUUAUUUAAGAGCAAUUAGAAUAUUGAGUUUUCUCACUCAAGAUGAUGGUAAUGUAUUCUAUUCUCAGUCCCUCUUAAAAAUGUCCUUCAGCAAAAUAUUAUUUCCUGUCUAUAUUUCUUGCUUGCUUUUAAAGAUUAUUUCUAGGCAUACUGUUUCUUGGUAUGCAAUUGUCAAUGAAUUUUUUUUUUUUUUUUUACUGUUUCUAACUGAGUAUUACUUUUAGAUAGGAAAGCAAUUAAUUUAUGUUUCAAUCUAGUGCAUCACUAAAGUAUAUUUAUUAGUCCUCAUAGGUUUUCGGUUACUUAUUUUGGAUAUUUUUAGAUAUACAAUUAUAUCACCUCCACAAAAAUACUAUUGUCUUCUCAUGAAUAAAUAUUAGGAUAUAGAGGUAUAGAAAAUAAUGUGGAAUAGAAGUAUUGUUAGCAGGCACCACUGUUCAGUUUAUAGUUUUAACAUAAAUGUUUAUAAUAUUUCACUUUUAAGUAAGAUGUUUGUCAUAUAUUUCUGUAUUAUAUCCUUUGUCAAUUUUAGUAAGUUGUUUCUAUUUGUAUCACACUAAAAAUUUUAAUCAGGAGUGACGGCUUAAAGUAAUACUAAGCAAAAAGAGCAAUUCUGAAGGCAACACAUUACCUGACUUCAAACUAUGCUACAAGGAUAUAGUUACCCAAACAGCAUAGCACUGGUAUAAAAAUAGUCGUAUUAGACCAAUGGAACAGUAUAGAGAAUCCAGAAAUAAAGCCAAAUCUUUAUAGUCAAUUGAUCUUUAGCAAAGCAUACAAAAACAUAAAGCGGGGAAAGGACACCCUACUCAACAAAUGGUGGUGGGAUAAUUG